rnacentral:rRNA from 1 species
GAGGAAUUUUGCGCAAUGGGGGCAACCCUGACGCAGCAACGCCGCGUGAGUGAAGAAGGCUUUCGGGUCGUAAAGCUCUGUCGAAGCGGGAAGAAGGUAGGCUAUUUAAACAGGGUAGUUUAUUGACGGUACCGCAGAAGGAAGCACCGGCUAACUCCGUGCCAGCAGCCGCGGUAAUACGGGGGGUGCAAGCGUUAUUCGGAAUUAUUGGGCGUAAAGGGCGCGUAGGCGGUUGAAUAAGUCAGAUGUGAAAGCCCUUGGCUUAACCAAGGAAGUGCAUUUGAUACUAUUUGACUUGAGUAUGGGAGAGGGAAGUGGAAUUCCUGGUGUAGAGGUGAAAUUCGUAGAUAUCAGGAGGAACACCGGUGGCGAAAGCGACUUCCUGGACCAAUACUGACGCUGAGGCGCGAAGGCGUGGGGAGCAAAC